rfam:Mortierella elongata AG-77 unplaced genomic scaffold K457scaffold_164, whole genome shotgun sequence.
AAUGUUGUUGCAAUAGUAAUUGAACUUAGUACGAGAGGAACCGUUCAUUCGGAUAAUUGGUAUUUGGGCCUGCCUGAGCAGGCAAUGGCCCGAAGCUAUCAUCCGUUGGGUUAUGGCUGAACGCCUCUAAGUCAGAACCCGUGCUAGAACGCGACGAUUACCGCCUUGUGCCAUUUUUAGUUGAAUACGAAUAGACCUACGGUCCUGAAUCAUACGAACGUGGGAUUAUCUUGCAGAGCGGAAAGGCUUUGUGAGGUUCCUGCUAAUGUUAAUUUCAAAUAUUGGAAGAGAUAAAUCCAUUGCAGACGACUUUAAUUGAACGGGGUAUUGUAAGCAGUAGAGUAGCCUUGUUGCUACGAUCUGCUGAGAUUAAGCCCAUUGUUCUAUAGAUUU